rnacentral:lncRNA from 1 species
ACCUUCCUGGUGGGAUUUUUUUUUUUAAUAUUUAUUUUCUUUAACCUGUAUGAGUACACUGUAGCUGUUUUCAGGCACACCAGAAGAGGGCGUGAGAUCUCAUUACAGAUGGUUGUGAUCCACCAUGUGGUUUCUGGGAAUUGAACUCAGGACCUCUGGAAGAGCAGUCAGUGCUCUUAACUGCUGAGCCAUCUCUCCAGACUGGGAUUAUUUUUUUCUUUAAGGAUUAAACUCUAAAACACCACAUGACAUUGACACUGCAAGUACUUGGACGUCACUAAGCACACUGCACAGGGAGCACUCACACUUGUACAGUUCAUUUCCAGGAAAGAACAGUCAGCUCUUAGCCUUCUUAGGGCUAACACCCUAUACCCUCCUCCCCAAGAGGGACCUAAAGUGUGCUGAAAGCCAGGAGAGAUAAAUGGCAGCCUCAGGUCUCUGGCUGUGAGGUUUCCUGGGUGAGAUUUUGUUUUCUGUGUGACUUAACUGCUGGGAAACUGAGUUCUAUGUAAUUGCUUAUACAACAGCAAUGCUCACACUGUAUACAGUAAGCAUGGGAUGAUGAGCAUAGUUCUGACAGUAGCGAUGCGCUGCUUUUAGAGUUCCUAUAACCUGGACUGUAAACUUGUUUUUUACUCCUGGGAGUUUCAAUGAAUGAUUAAAUAUCCUGGGCUUAAAAACAACAAACAAGGAAACAAACAACACUAUUUGCAAUGGAUGCAGAGACAUUAAAACAUGAGUUUAUCUUAUGUUAUGCAACUGAGAUUUUUUUUUUCUGUCUAAUGUGACCUGUGUUUGUCAUGAUAUUUCCACACUCCUUUUGAAAACAUGUUUUUGGUUAAGGACGUACAACGUUUUAGUUUUAGUUUUUUAGUUGUGAAGCAUGUUCAGAUUUUCUGUACUUGUGUAGCUGAUUGUUCAUGUGGCUUAGCAAGGUUUUCUAAAGCAGCUUCAGUAGCUGUCACUGAUUUUUUUCAAAAUAAAAUUUGGGCUGUUCUUUAU